rnacentral:rRNA from 1 species
CAAAGAUACAUCUUCAAGCGGU